GUAGGUGGCAAGCGUUGUCCGGAAUUAUUGGGCGUAAAGCGCGCGCAGGUGGUUCUUUAAGUCUGAUGUGAAAGCCCCCGGCUCAACCGGGGAGGGUCAUUGGAAACUGGGGGACUUGAGUGCAGGAGAGGAAAGUGGAAUUCCACGUGUAGCGGUGAAAUGCGUAGAUAUGUGGAGGAACACCAGUGGCGAAGGCGACUUUCUGGCCUGUAACUGACACUGAGGCGCGAAAGCGUGGGGAGCAAACAGGGAUUAGAUACCCUGGUAGUCCACGCCGUAAACGAUGAGUGCUAAGUGUUGGGGGGGUUUCCCGCCCCUCAGUGCUGCAGCUAACGCAUUAAGCACUCCGCCUGGGGAGUACGGUCGCAAGACUG
rnacentral:rRNA from 1 species